CACGUAGGCACCAAGCGUUGUCCGGAUUUAUUGGGCGUAAAGAGCUCGUAGGCGGUUGAGGAAGGCGGGUGUGAAAACUCUGGGCUUAACCCAGAGCCGCCACCCGAUACUGCUCUGACUUGAGUUCGGUAGGGGAGCAGGGAAUUCCUAGUGUAGCGGUGAAAUGCGCAGAUAUUAGGAGGAACACCGGUGGCGAAGGCGCUGCUCUGGGCCGAUACUGACGCUGAGGAGCGAAAGCGUGGGUAGCAAACAGG
rnacentral:rRNA from 1 species